rnacentral:rRNA from 1 species
CGAGUGAAGCGGCAAAAGCUCAAAUUUGAAAUCUGGCUCUUUCAGAGUCCGAGUUGUAAUUUGAAGAAGGUAUCUUUGGGUCUGGCUCUUGUCUAUGUUUCUUGGAACAGAACGUCACAGAGGGUGAGAAUCCCGUGCGAUGAGAUGAUCCAGGCCUAUGUAAAGUUCCUUCGAAGAGUCGAGUUGUUUGGGAAUGCAGCUCUAAGUGGGUGGUAAAUUCCAUCUAAAGCUAAAUAUUGGCGAGAGACCGAUAGCGAACAAGUACAGUGAUGGAAAGAUGAAAAGAACUUUGAAAAGAGAGUGAAAAAGUACGUGAAAUUGUUGAAAGGGAAGGGCUUGAGAUCAGACUUGGUAUUUUGUAUGUUACUUCUUCGGGGGUGGCCUCUACAGUUUAUCGGGCCAGCAUCAGUUUGGGCGGUAGGAGAAUUGCGUUGGAAUGUGGCACGGCUUCGGUUGUGUGUUAUAGCCUUCGUCGAUACUGCCAGCCUAGACUGAGGACUGCGGUUUAUACCUAGGAUGUUGGCAUAAUGAUCUUAAGUCGCCCGUCUUG